rnacentral:rRNA from 1 species
GACAGAGGGUGCAAGCGUUAAUCGGAAUUAUUGGGCGUAAAGCGCACGUAGGCGGAUUAAUAAGUUGGAUGUGAAAUCCCUGGGCUUAACCUGGGAACUGCAUUCAAAACUGUUAGUCUAGAGUACAGUAGAGGGAAGUGGAAUUUCCGGUGUAGCGGUGAAAUGCGUAGAUAUCGGAAAGAACAUCAGUGGCGAAGGCGACUUCCUGGACUGAUACUGACACUCAGGUGCGAAAGCGUGGGGAGCAAACAGG